rnacentral:tRNA from 1 species
AUAGCUCAGUAGAAGAGCAUGGUGCUUCUGACAUCAGGAUCGUGGGUUCAAUUCCCGCU